rnacentral:lncRNA from 1 species
GGGGGGGGAUUUGGGAUUUUUGUGAUCACUUGCUUUUGUAUCCUAUUAAAUCAGAAACAAAUCGAGCCAAAAGCCCUCACUAGGAGUGUGCUCAGAUGGAUGAUAUUUCACAUUAACCAAACAGCUCGAUCGAGCUCAAGUCUUGAAAAUAGAACAGCUCCUCCCUCCUGGUAAGAGAUACAUUCCUUUGUUAUGUCCUACACAACACAACAUGAAUCCAAAUUAGUCGGAUCGGUCAAUUUUAAAUACUCAAUGCAUAAAAAGAAAUCUUGAAUCAACUUCAAACCCCUCACAUAGAUACGACAAUCCUCUAUCGAAUACAACAAUCAUUGAUCAAUCAGUCAAAAGUGGAGUAGCUUCUUUAGUUUGGAAGGAAGUUAAUAAGAUAGUAGUCUAAAUUGACCAUUUGUUCACUCUUCCUCCAGCAUCUGCCGUUCUGGUUCUGUAAAUUUUACUGAUGGCCAAUGGAAAAAAUCAGAAAAUUUGCUGUCCAAAACGGAGCUGAUCUGUUUGGAGCAAUUUAGAGUUACAUA